GACGAACGCUGGCGGCGUGCUUAACACAUGCAAGUCGAACGGAAAGGCCCUGCUUGCAGGGUACUCGAGUGGCGAACGGGUGAGUAACACGUGGGUGAUCUGCCCUGCACUUCGGGAUAAGCCUGGGAAACUGGGUCUAAUACCGGAUAGGAGCCAUUUUUAGUGUGAUGGUUGGAAAGUUUUUUCGGUGUAGGAUGAGCUCGCGGCCUAUCAGCUUGUUGGUGGGGUAAUGGCCUACCAAGGCGGCGACGGGUAGCCGGCCUGAGAGGGUGGACGGCCACAUUGGGACUGAGAUACGGCCCAGACUCCUACGGGAGGCAGCAGGGGGGAAUAUUGCACAAUGGGCGCAAGCCUGAUGCAGCGAGGCCGCGUGGGGGAUGACGGCCUUCGGGUUGUAAACUCCUUUCGCUAGGGACGAAGCUUUUUGUGACGGUACCUAGAUAAGAAGCACCGGCUAACUACGUG
rnacentral:rRNA from 1 species